CCUGACAGGAUGCGGUCCGCCAGUCUCCAACAGAGUUUAAAACAUCCUGAAGAUGAAGGACCAGCACCUGUUUUGGAGACAUGGAGUUACAACUGAGUUGAAGAGAUAAUCAUAACAGUAGCUUCUAAAUAUAAACCUGAUGCAUAUACAGCCAUUAUACCAAAGAGUAAAGGUACCUGUUUAAUUCCUUUCUAUGAAGCAUGGAAAAUUAUAUUUGCAUAUGCAAUAGG
rnacentral:lncRNA from 13 species